rnacentral:rRNA from 1 species
CAGCCGCCGCGGUAAUACGUAGGGGGCAAGCGUUAUCCGGAUUUACUGGGUGUAAAGGGAGCGUAGACGGUUUGGCAAGUCUGAAGUGAAAGCCCGGGGCUCAACCCCGGAAUUGCUUUGGAAACUGUUAGACUGGAGUGUCGGAGAGGUAAGUGGAAUUCCCAGUGUAGCGGUGAAAUGCGUAGAUAUUGGGAGGAACACCGGUGGCGAAGGCGGCUUACUGGACGAUAACUGACGUUGAGGCUCGAAGGCGUGGGGAGCAAACAGGAUUAGAUACCCCAGUAGUCCCUGUCUCUUAUAC